rnacentral:rRNA from 1 species
AGAGUUUGAUCCUGGCUCAGAAUGAACGCUGGCGGCGUGCUUAACACAUGCAAGUCGCACGAGAACGCUUCUGCUUGCAGGGGCUAGUAAAGUGGCGCACGGGUGAGUAACGCGUGGGUAAUCUACCCCCGGAUCCGGGAUAACCCUCCGAAAGGGGUGCUAAUACCGGAUGAAGUCAUAGGGACUGCGGUUUUUAUGAUGAAAGGUGGCCUCUCCGAGGAAGCUACUGUUUGGGGAUGAGCCCGCGUACCAUUAGCUAGUUGGUGGGGUAACGGCCUACCAAGGCAGCGAUGGUUAGCUGGUCUGAGAGGAUGAUCAGCCACACUGGAACUGACACACGGUCCAGACUCCUACGGGAGGCAGCAGUGAGGAAUUUUGCGCAAUGGGGGGAACCCUGACGCAGCAACGCCGCGUGAGUGAAGAAGGCCUUCGGGUCGUAAAGCUCUGUCGAGUGGGAAGAACAUUUAUGUGGUGAAUAUCCAUGUGAAUUGACGGUACCACAGAAGGAAGCACCGGCUAACUCCGUGCCAGCAGCCGCGGUAAUA